CCAGGACAUGAGGCAGGGCAUGGGUGCCGUGAGCUGGGGAGAGCUGCAGGUGUGGGACACGGUCACAUUCGGGUUAGAAAAUCCUGAGGUUUAUUUUUUCAGUGAUGGAGAAGGCACCGCCAUCCCGGGUAAAUUGCUGCCUUCAUUAAGAGCUCUUGAGAUGGGAAAUGAAUCAGUUUAAGUCACACCAGGCUGAACGUUGACUUCCAGCUCUGGGAACUCUUGAUAAGUUUGCCUGCUCGAUUGCAGAGUGGCCUCCUAUAAGAUUUCAGAGCACCAGAACGAAAUAAAACCCGUCUAAUUGCUGCCAUCUGAGCCGGAGGACUGCAAACAGAGAUGUGAAGGAGGCAGCACGGCUUGGAGCCGUAAAAUCCUCAGCACUCAUCCAUGGGUCACAACGGGGGAGGCACAAAUCUUUCCUCCAGCCCACCAAAGCGCUGUGCUCAGCGGGAAGGAGGGGCUCGAUGGAAUAUUCUGCCAUGAAGCAGAAGACUUCGCAGGGGGAAAAAAGUGAAAAGAUACACAACAGUGGAGCUGCUUUCUUGGCUAAGCAUGAGGAAAACUGCAGGAGUCUGUGUUACUUACUCACUUGUGCAAAAUGUGCUUAGUUCCACAAAUGCAGCGGUGCCAGUCCUGCAGGUGUGUUAGCAGGUGAUAAGUGCUGUUCACGCGCUGAGUAAUGUGCUGGGUAAAGAAAUGACCACGUUUCAGAGCUGCUGUGAUAGACGUGCAUCCCUCCCAGCCAACCCCGGACUGCAAGGAGACCACGCUGCAAAGCAAUGGGUCUGGGCAGAGCUUGGCCAGGCAGGAGCAGGGCUGAGAAUGUCACUGCAGAGCUGGCCAAGCUGCUCACCGCAACACACGAACCCCAGCUCCCGCCUGGUGCUGCCUGAAUGCUGCACGGAGCAGCCAUGUGAAAUAACUCCUGGGGUAGAUAGCAGUAAUCUGAGCGCAACUGCAGAUGAGAAAAUCCUGCCCAUUGUCCUGCCCUGAUGAAAUUAAACCCGGCACCUUGCACAGCUGCUGCCAAACCCGGCAGCGUUGUUCCUUUGUGCUCAUACAUAAGCUCAGUUCUCUGCCAUCCCACAAGGAGCAUCACUCACAGCCUGCGGGAAGACAAAACCUUCCUCCCAGUCUCACACAGCUCUGGUGCACCCAAUUCUGCUGUUACUGACAAUGGUGUAUUCUGGGGUGAAGGCCUGGCUUACAUCACUACAUGAACAAUGGCUUGUUGUUGUUGUC
ensembl:lncRNA